AGGUUACGCUUCACAGAUAGA
rnacentral:snRNA from 1 species